GUAUAUGUAAUUUAUUUUAAUUAAUAAUACAUACAUCUUAUUAAUAAUCUACUUAUAUAAUAAUCUAUAAAUAUUAUAUAAUAAUAUGUAUAUAAUUAGUAUUAAUAUUUAAUAGUAA
rnacentral:misc_RNA from 1 species